UACGUAUGGUGCAAGCGUUAUCCGGAUUUACUGGGUGUAAAGGGAGCGUAGGCGGCGCGUUAAGUCUGAUGUGAAAACCCGAGGCUCAACCACGGGAGUGCAUUGGAAACUGGCGGGCUGGAGUGCCGGAGAGGUAAGCGGAAUUCCCAGUGUAGCGGUGAAAUGCGUAGAUAUUAGGAGGAACACCAGUGGCGAAGGGGGCUUACUGGACGGCAACUGACGCUGAGGCUCGAAAGCGUGGGGAGCAAACAGG
rnacentral:rRNA from 1 species